ensembl:lncRNA
GUUGUAUAUCAUAUCCUCCGUGUUGUAUAUCAUAUCCUCCGUGUUGUAUAUCAUAUCCUCCGUGUUGUAUAUCAUAUCCUCCAUGUUGUAUAAAAUAUCCUCCAUGUUGUAUAUCAUAUUUGACAGUUGUCUGUUCACGCUUACAGACACCUACAGUAUGUGCCUUUAUGCGUCAGUUUGGACAUAUUCUGCACUUUAUUGCUAGUGAUUUGUCUGGAAAAUGCUCAAAGACUUACAGAAUAUAAUAUAAUAUAACUAUUGCAUUAUAUUCCAGGAGUCCAAUUCUUAUUUAGAUAGGCCUUGAUUUUUUUGUUGAUAUGCAGGGAGAACGACCAUGGCUUUGGUUUGUUCCAAAUCAUUGAUUAGUUAUACUUCAGUAACAGAGUCCCUUUCACUCAUCGAGGGUUGAUCGACUGAUAUAACAGCAUUACAGAAUUUAAACUGAACUGAAAAUGUAUUGGGGAUGCAUGAGAUGGACUAUGAUUGAGUUGCAACAGGAGAGAGCAGUUCACAACAAGGUAUAAUGUAGAGAUCUAAUGUCCCCCUGUACGUUUAUAUCAAGGUAUAAUGUAGAGAUCUAAUGUUCCCCUGUACCUUUAGAUCAAGGUAUAAUGUAGAGGUCUAAUGUUCCCCUGUACCUUUAGAUCAAGGUAUAAUGUGGAGGCCUAACUCUUACAUAGACAACCCACUUUUUUAUAAACUAUUCACAGCAGCUUUCCCUUGAUAUUACCACAGCACUGUCCAGAAUGAACGGUGGGCGGGUGUGGGAUGGUCACCCAAUACCGCAUCCAGAUCUGAAUCAACUGGACACCGGGUUCUACCGCUCCCAUCCAGAUCUGAAUCAACUGGACACCGGGUUCUACCGCUCCCAUCCAGAUCUGAAUCAACUGGACACCGGGUUCUUCCGUUCCCAUCCAGAUCUGAAUCAACUGGACACUGGGUUCGUCCGGUUUUUAAUGAAGACCAAGAUCUUAUUUCUGUAUGAAUUGUAGCGGUAUCGUUGUCCAUAAUUGUGGUGCUUUCAAGACAACUGGGAACUGGAAAAAAAACAAGGUCAAAUAAUGACGUCAGUGAUCUUCAGGUUGGAAAGUCGGAGCUCUAGAAAGAUGGUCGAGUUUCCAACUUGGAAUUCCGAGUUGGAUGACCGUUCGAAACAAUUUUUUUCCCAGUUGAAGCUCCAAGUUGUCUUGAACGCACUGACGUCGGAAGCCGGAGAUAUCCAAGUUCCCGAAUUCCGAGUUCCCAGUUGUUUUGAAUGCGGCAUUACUACCUCAACUGGCCGGUGUGACUUAUUUGAGAGGACCAAAUGUA